UAUAAACCAUAGACCAGCAGGGUGCACUACCUGAAGGCAUGGAAAUGAUGGUAAUCUGUAUUUUAACCCUGUGUGAACUUCCUCAUAGCACUGUGACCUCUGUCUUCUGCAGCACAAGGCAACAUAAUAUGGGAACACAUCACCUCACCUCAAUGUACCGGCUUUAGAUGAGAAGGCGCACCUAAGCCAAAGCUGUCCAAAACAGAUAUAUCAUCUAGGUCAAAUUGCCAGAAUCCCUUCUCUACCAAGUUUAUGAGAGUAUAAAAAAGGGUGGCUUCUUCCUCUUCUAUUAUUCCCAGGCUCAUUUCAGUGUCAGGUAAUGUCAAUGUGAAUACUGUUACUAGUUACUAAUUUUCGUGAAAACUACAGGAAAUUCAUUGUCCAGGAGAUCGGGUGAAACUGCUUCCAAAAGGUAAAGAAACCACAAUGCAGUCCAAAACACAAUAAAAAAAAAAAGCCCAUAAAGGUGGGGUUGGGACCCAUAGUUGACCACCAAAGAGUCAAAGUUAUUUUCCUCAGGAAAAAUGUGUGUCUGCCAGGA